GGCGAACGCUGGCGGCGUGCUUAACACAUGCAAGUCGAACGGAAAGGCCCUGCUUUUGUGGGGUGCUCGAGUGGCGAACGGGUGAGUAACACGUGAGUAACCUGCCCUUGACUUUGGGAUAACUUCAGGAAACUGGGGCUAAUACCGGAUAGGAGCUCCUGCUGCAUGGUGGGGGUUGGAAAGUUUCGGCGGUUGGGGAUGGACUCGCGGCUUAUCAGCUUGUUGGUGGGGUAGUGGCUUACCAAGGCUUUGACGGGUAGCCGGCCUGAGAGGGUGACCGGCCACAUUGGGACUGAGAUACGGCCCAGACUCCUACGGGAGGCAGCAGUGGGGAAUAUUGCACAAUGGGCGGAAGCCUGAUGCAGCAACGCCGCGUGCGGGAUGACGGCCUUCGGGUUGUAAACCGCUUUCGCCUGUGACGAAGCGUGAGUGACGGUAAUGGGUAAAGAAGCACCGGCUAACUACGUGCCAGCAGCCGCGGCGAUACGUAGGGUGCGAGCGUUGUCCGGAAUUACUGGGCGUAAAGGGCUCGUAGGUGGUUUGUCGCGUCGUCUGUGAAAUUCUGGGGCUUAACUCCGGGCGUGCAGGCGAUACGGGCAUAACUUGAGUGCUGUAGGGGUAACUGGAAUUCCUGGUGUAGCGGUGAAAUGCGCAGAUAUCAGGAGGAACACCGAUGGCGAAGGCAGGUUACUGGGCAGUUACUGACGCUGAGGAGCGAAAGCAUGGGUAGCGAACAGGAUUAGAUACCCUGGUAGUCCAUGCCGUAAACGGUGGGCGCUAGGUGUGAGGGUCUUUCUACGACUUUCGUGCCGUAGCUAACGCAUUAAGCGCCCCGCCUGGGGAGUACGGCCGCAAGGCUAAAACUCAAAGGAAUUGACGGGGGCCCGCACAAGCGGCGGAGCAUGUGGAUUAAUUCGAUGCAACGCGAAGAACCUUACCUGGGCUUGACAUACAUCAGAUCGCUGCAGAGAUGUAGUUUCCCUUUGUGGUUGGUGUACAGGUGGUGCAUGGUUGUCGUCAGCUCGUGUCGUGAGAUGUUGGGUUAAGUCCCGCAACGAGCGCAACCCUUGUCUUAUGUUGCCAGCAUUUGGUUGGGGACUCAUGAGAGACUGCCGGGGUUAACUCGGAGGAAGGUGGGGAUGACGUCAAAUCAUCAUGCCCCUUAUGUCCAGGGCUUCACACAUGCUACAAUGGUCGGUACAAUGCGCUGCGACACUGUGAGGUGGAGCGAAUCGCUGAAAGCCGGUCUUAGUUCGGAUUGGGGUCUGCAACUCGACCCCAUGAAGUCGGAGUCGCUAGUAAUCGCAGAUCAGCAAUGCUGCGGUGAAUACGUUCCCGGGCCU
rnacentral:rRNA from 1 species